CGUUGAAACAAUGGCACGUUGAUGAUUUCUACGUCUGUUUCUUCUACAGAGUCCCAUGGAGGUGGUUGUAAUAUAUCAGGUAUUGUCUUUCGAUAAGGUGGUCCUGAAGCCACCGAAGUCACGAAGAUUAAGUCGAAGCAGCUUGUUUGAUCGUUGUGUGAAUCUUUAAUCAUCAUAUAACGCGAAAUCGAAAUUGGAUGCGAGCAUUGCUGUGCUGAUUCACUCGAGGACAAAGACACGCGCCGCUACUUGAAUCCUCAUGAUAGCGUUUAGCCAUUAAAAAUGCUACUCUCGUAGGUGGAAGUGACCGCAAAGAGGACAAUGUUUGCCAGUCAAGCCGUCAGAUUCCUCCUCGUAUUGUUAAAUGUAGGUACGAAAUUUUAAAGAAUUCGUUGAGUUUUAUCUUUCAAUCUUAUUUAAACAAGACACAAAGAUUAUAAAAUAUCGAAUGGUUUUUGAAGUGGAUCAAUAAUGGAAGAGAUUAAGGAGUGUCGAAACAUUUAAUAGACCAUUUAAUAGAUUGUUAAACACUAUAUUCAUUGUUUUUAUCUUAUCAUCGGAAAAUGUGUUUCGAUAAAUUUUUGUUACGUACAUAAGAUGUCUCUUAUUGAAAAUAUAUAAAGAAUUUGUUUC